rnacentral:lncRNA from 10 species
CCAUGCUGUGUCUGGCAGAGCUGUCAGUCUCUGCACUUGAGGCCCUAGGCCGUCAUAGACGUGAAGGCUCUUCAGCGUCAUCAUGUGGAGACAGACGGUAGGAAUCCUGCAAAUGAGCAGAAAGGAUCUGAUGAUGAAAGUUUGUUCUGAAGCUACUACAAACUCAAGUCAGUGAGUUGCUUCUGUACCAGUUUUUUUUUUUUUUUUUUUUUGAGAUAGAGUCUUGCUCCCACCUUGAAGUGCAGUGGUGUGAUCUCCUCUCACUGCAGCCUCCGCCUCCUGGGUUCAAGCAAUUCUGCCUCAGCCUCCCAAGUAACUGGGACUACAAGUGCGCGCCACCACGCCUGGCUAAUUUUUGUAUUUUUGGUAGAGACGGGAUUGCACCAUAUUGGCCAGGCUGGUCUCGAACCCCCGACCUCAGGUGAUCCACCCGCCUCGGCCUCCAAAAGUGCUGGGAUUACAGGCGUGAGCCACCGCGCCCGGUCAGACUCUCUCGUUUCUAGGAGGGACGGUCUUGGAGGCUCCAAGGAGAAGGCGUCGCCUGGCCCCAGGAAGCGCCCUGGUGAGGCGUCCCUCCAUUUCCCCAUCUCCUGCGGGGCCCUCCCAGGGCGGGCUCCACGCCUGCCCCGCGCGCCUGUGUAGGAGCCUCGAGGCGGGCGGGGUUCCAGCGCGCAGCCGGCCGCCCUCAACCGCUCCCAGCAUCGGUUGCCGGUGGUUCGGGGCAGGGAGACGACGCAGCGCGAGCGGAAAGGGCGGUUACCCAACGGCCUUAGCUCUCAUGGCGUCCUCCGUGGUGUUACCUAAAAAUAAAGUUAUUUGUGAUUAGAA